rnacentral:rRNA from 1 species
UACGUAGGGGGCAAGCGUUGUCCGGAAUUACUGGGCGUAAAGGGCGCGUAGGCGGCCUAGCAAGUUUCGUGUGGAAACCCUGUUUUUAAGGCAGGAGGUGCACGGAAAACUGCAAGGCUUGAGUGCAGGAGAGGGAAGCGGAAUUCCAAGUGUAGCGGUAAAAUGCGCAGAUAUUUGGAGGAACACCGGUGGCGAAGGCGGCUUUCUGGACUGUAACUGACGCUGAUGCGCGAAAGCGUGGGGAGCAAACAGG